rnacentral:rRNA from 1 species
CCUACGGGAGGCAGCAGUCGAGAAUUUUUCUCAAUGGGGGAAACCCUGAAGGAGCGACGCCGCGUGGAGGAUGAAGGUCUUCGGAUUGUAAACUCCUGUCAUUUGGGAACAAGGGUUACACGUUAACUGCGUGUGGCUUGAUAGUACCAGAAGAGGAAGGGACGGCUAACUCUGUGCCAGCAGCCGCGGUAAUACAGAGGUCCCGAGCGUUGUUCGGAUUCAUUGGGCGUAAAGGGUGCGUAGGCGGCGGGGCAAGUCGGAUGUGAAAUCCCGGGGCUCAACCCUGGAACUGCAUUCGAUACUGCCUUGCUUGAGUACUGGAGAGGGAACUGGAAUUUACGGUGUAGCAGUGAAAUGCGUAGAUAUCGUAAGGAAGACCAGUGGCGAAGGCGAGUUCCUGGACAGUUACUGACGCUGAGGCACGAAGGCCAGGGGAGCAAACGGGAUUAGAUACCCCGGUAGUCCUGGCAGUAAACGGUGCGCGUUUGGUGUGGAGGGAUUCGACCCCUUCCGUGCCGGAGCUAACGCGUUAAACGCGCCGCCUGGGGAGUACGGUCGCAAGAUUAAAACUCAAAGAAAUUGACGGGGGCCCGCACAAGCGGUGGAGUAUGUGGCUUAAUUCGAUGCAACGCGAAGAACCUUACCUGGGCUUGACAUGCAUCUCUAAGUCGGUGAAAGCCGGCGAGUGGAGCAAUCCACAAUUUGCACAGGUGCUGCAUGGCUGUCGUCAGCUCGUGUCGUGAGAUGUUGGGUUAAGUCCCGCAACGAGCGCAACCCCUGUGAACUGUUGCCACUCCCUUAACUGAAGCACUCUGUUCAGACUGCCCUGUGAAACGGGGAGGAAGGUGGGGAUGACUUCAAGUCAACAUGGCCCCUAUCUCCAGUGCUGCUCCGUACUACAUGCUCACAUAUAAUAGCCGAAGCUCGCGAGGCCGACGAAUCUCUAAACCGAGCUCAUCUGAUUCGCUGCUUCUAU